UACGUAGGGGGCGAGCGUUGUCCGGAUUUAUUGGGCGUAAAGGGCUCGUAGGCGGCUGUUCAAGUCGAACGUGAAAACUCGGAGCUCAACUCCGAGCCUGCGUUCGAUACUGGACGGCUAGAGUCUGGUAGGGGGACCUGGAAUUCCUGGUGUAGCGGUGGAAUGCGCAGAUAUCAGGAGGAACACCGGUGGCGAAGGCGGGUCUCUGGGCCGAUACUGACGCUGAGGAGCGAAAGCGUGGGGAGCGAACAGG
rnacentral:rRNA from 1 species